CACAGAAAAUUACCAUACAUCCUAUGUAUAUUUUUUUAAAAUGCCCAUUGUGCUGCAUUAUGUGUUGUGCACUAUGCACGAUGUGCUGCAGUCUAAAGCAGCUGUAAACCCCCUUUACUGGCCAACAUGUUCAGGCUUCUCUAGAGUGGUGUACAGCAACCAACACAUCCUAAGGAAUUUGGCCCUAAAAGGUUAAAAAAAAAAAAGAUGUAUUUUUAGAUAAGUACCUAUCUUCAUAUUGUUGUAAAUAUCAUAUGGCUACAUUCUCUGAGUUUCUUGUUUUGUGAUCAAGUAUGACAUUUUUAAUUGAAAAAAGAUGGGAAUUCCAUCACAGCAAUAUAAGGGAAAAUAAAGAAAAAAAUCUAAAAUGUCUUUAAAAAUCAAUUUUAAUCUGGGACCACAAACACUGCAAUGUCUUGAUUAUCACCACAUGCUUAUUGCAUGGUAUCAUUAGAAGGCAAAGUUAAGGAUGCCCUGAGCGUUUACAUAUCUUGUUUGGAUUUAAGUUUAACCUCACUUCUGAAUCCUCUGCUUGUUUAGGGGAUAAUUACAAUACAUUUUAUCCUAGAUUACCGAUACGUAUUUUCAACCUUCACUCCCUCUUACUGUAGUUUUUGCCUGGGAAUACUAUGUAGUCUAUUAAACAGGCCUAGGAUGAAAGAGAGACACUAUUGUGUGUGAGGGAUAUACUCUAAUUCUAAAAAAAGUCUUUGAAUAUGAAAUAUUUCAUAUUCAGUCUCAGAGGGGAUUUUUUUUCAAAUCUGUAAAAUCAGAGAUAAACCCCUUUAACUAUCUUUCAGUUAUCAAAAGGUAAAAUAUGACGUUUUCCAUUUAAAAUAAAUGUUAGGUCACUGCUUUACUUAAAGAAUGAAAAAAACUAUGCCUGAAGUUUAUUACUUGAAAUUUCAGUUUUGCUGAUCCUCAGUGAGGCCUUGGCCUUUCUGCUGUCAGGAUCCACUUUCCCACCCACAUUAAACCAGUGUUAAGAGCAUUGAAAUCUUAUUUUUGUGCAUGGUAACUUUGGGAGCUAUGAACUAUCAGGGCUAGUAUCUACACAGAAAACUUCCUCUGUAGAUUGAUUUCAAUGUAGAAAAAGAUUCUGGACCAGAUUCUCUCUGUGUAUUCUGGCCAUUUUCUGCUGCUCAAGUAGCGCAAAAUGGUAGAUGGUUGCCCUACCUGGUUAGAUGAUUAUUUCUCCAGUGUGGGGAAGUUUUCACCUGGCAUAAAGAGGCAUAAUCAGCCUUUAUGCCAACUACCGCACUCACACCAUGUAUGGGACAGGAGAGAGCAUGACACAGCAUACUUUCACUCAAUCAAUUCUCAACUGAUGUGUGGUCCCACAGGAAGCACAGCCAGCUGGCACAGAAGUUAGAGCAGCCCCUAAGCUCUCCUCUACCAACUGAAUCUCAGCAAGGAGAGAAUCUGGGUGCUUAUGCAUGACUUUUAAGGUCUGUACGAGUUGACCUCUCUACUGUGAAGCUUUCAGCACCUCAGGAGAAGGAUUUCUCUCUCUUUGGAAUGCACAGGGAAAUUAAAAUAUAACUUAUGUUAAGGUUACAAAUCUCAUGACUUCUAGAGUUUAUGUGCAAAAACAGUGGUUCUCAUACUGUAGUUAUUAUUAAUUUGCACAUACUGCACGCGUGUUGUAUUGUCAAUUUCUGGAUUGAUAUCUAAAUGUCUACAUAAAUAUGAAUUUACGGAAACCAAAAAAUAUACAGGAUGUGUAGCAUAGCUGAGUUAAUGUUACAACAGAAAUUUUAAACUUCUUCCAUUUCCUCACGUUGUGAGCAUUAACAUUCCUAACCUUAAUGUUACUAGUUAAUAGAGAAACAUGCAUUAAUGUAUCAAAACCUCAAACAAUGGGCAUAGAGAAGCCAGUGGUAGGAUUAGAAUCCAUCAGCCAGACCUCCAGCUACAGUAAAAUGUCAGAGCUCCAUUGACUUCAACUGAGCUACAACAAUUUACACAACUGAGGAUAUGGCCCUAUCUCUGGACAUGACAGGGUAAGCGCUCUGUCAAGCUUAACACACACUUGCGGUUUUUUCAAAUAGGCUGAUGUCCCCUUUCCCUUUUUCACACUUUAAAGGCCACAGUAGAGAAGGCUCAUUGUCUGAAGUAACUGUUGGACUGUGCUUCUGCCUGGAUGUAGUGCUGGGCAGCAAUGAAAGUUACAGACAUAAGUACAAGCCUCUGGGAGGAGUCAACUCAGGCAUCUGGUUAAGGAGAAAUAGUUCUUUUUGUAGGAACUACAUCACCCAACAUGGCACCAGGAGUGUGCGUACAGCAUCAGAUGACAACAGAAAGCAAAGCAAAUGGCUGUAUCCUUCAACACCAACUUAUUAUAGUUUUAUCAGCCCUUCCAUCUGAAAGAUUGCAUCAUGUUAUUUUAUGUCUGGACAAGAACAAACUCCAUCUUUGCCUCCUGAUCUUCUUGGUUAAAAUGGAUUGGAAGAUUUGAUCUGAUAAGAGACUAUCUGUUGAAGUGUUGUCAGAAAAGUGGUUAUGUAAAAACAACACCCUCUUUCCACGUUACAUUGUGCAUUUCUGAGCCAAAAUUGUUGACUUUACUCACAAAAAACAGGUUUGUAUUCCUGUUAUCUCUGCAGAGCCAAUAGUUAUGAGCACCUUACCUGGACUUUAUUCUGCCUCCUACACCAUCGUCAACAUUGUCUGCAAAGCCCUCAUUGCAGAACCUUUACCUUUAGAGCUGAGGUUAGAGGAACAAUCCAGGGAGAAACUGCAACAGAAGAAAAAGGGCAGUGGCAAGAGAGGUUUCUUCAAAUUAUUAGGCCUACAACUAGAAGACAAAAGUGGUUAGUUCACGUCACAAUGGUCUUCGUAUUGCCAAGCAGGACACAGAGGUUCAAGGCAGAGACAAAGCAUCACGCACAAAGCUACAAAGCUGUCCCAUUUCUAAACCAAUGGAAAGCAACCCAAAGAAUUUUUAAAAAGAUCUUGAAAAUGUAGUCAGUGCUAAACCAAAAUUUGUUUCUGGUAUGAUGCUAAUUUCCAUUCCAAGUCACCGUAACAGUCUUGCUGGGAAAUUUGCUUCCAAAAUGCACAUCGUGGGUUUUGUUUGUUGUUGUUUUUUGUUUUUUAAAUUAUGAGUACUGGGUAGAAUCUGAAUGAGAUAUUCUUCCCUCCUCCCCGGGUUCACUCUUGUAUUAGUAGAAAUCAAACAGGCUAGCCAUGUCUCUCUAACUAAUCUUCAGUAUGACACUGUUCACACAGUACAGCUUUCGCUGCAGGAGAGCCAGAAGUGGGCAAACGCGUUUGCCCUCCAGCAAGUGAGGGAAACAAACAGGAAGAAUGCUACUUGCAUCUACUCUACUUUUAAUUUCUUGUCAGAGAGAAAACUAAAUUGUGAAGGAAAGAAUAAUAAUUCAUGGAGGUAAGUGGUAAAGGAGAUGUAAUGCAACAUGCAUUUAUCAAAGAUAGAUCAUGCCAUAUUAACUUGAUUUCCUUCUUUGAGAAAAUAACUUUUUUAGCUAGGAAAGAUUUACUGUACCUGAACUUCAGUAAUGCGUUUUACAUGGUACCACGUGGGAAACUACUAGUUACAUUAGGGAAGAUGGCACUCAGUGUAAGAAAUAUAAUGUGGAUAAGGAAACAGCUAAAGAGCGAAAGGCAACAAGCAGUGCUGAAAGGGGAACUACUGGACUGGAAGGAAAUUACUAGUGG